rnacentral:tRNA from 1 species
GCCCGGAUGGUGGAAUUGGCAGACACGCAAGGCUAAGGACCUUGUGCCAGCAAUGGUGUGGGAGUUCGAGUCUCCCUCCGGGCACCA